CCAAUUAGGGAUAUCUCAAGAUGUUUGGUCUAAACUGCUUGAUCAUUGGUUGCAGCCUACAUGGCAGGAUAAAAGUAAAAGAAACAAGUCUAAUAGGGCGAAAUCCACAAUUGUGCAUACGACAGGUUCUGUUCCAAUGGAAAAGUACAGAAAAGAUGAGCUUGAUCGAACUGGAAUUGAACCGAGUCCAAUUGAUUGUUUCAAAAAGUUCCAUGUAAGUAAGCCUAAGAAUGGAGGAAAAGAA